rnacentral:ncRNA from 1 species
UUUCCUAAAUUGGGGUGCUUGAGCAUUGCUCUUGCUGAGAUUAUACCCAUCGAACCUGUCCGGGUAAUGCCGGAAAGGGAAUAGUAUAAAAUACGCA